rnacentral:lncRNA from 1 species
CGACGCGCCGCCCCUUCGACACCCCGGUACACCCCGGCGCGCCGGCCGGGAGAAGCGCAGUCGCAGGAGGUAGGCGAGACCGAGCGCAUCGCGACGACGGGGAGACAGAGACAUGGCCUCGAAGGGACGGGCGGCCGCCUGCCAAAGGGUCGCGGGUCACGGCGUUUCACAGCCUUCCUCCCUGCUGCUGCUCGUCUUGAUCUUCCUGUACCACGAGCCCCUGCUGGCCAAAGAAGUGAAGGGGGUGGCGGGUGAGAACGUCACCAUCCUCUUCUCCUUCAACGGCUCCUUCGAUGGCACCCUGCUGAAGUACGCCAACCUCUACAAGGACGGGAACAAGUCGGCCGAGUGGAGGGCGGCGUCCUCGCCCGCCCCGUCCUCUCACCUGUCCUUAAAUGUGACGAGCGGCAAGGUGGCCCUCGUCAUCCACGGGGUCACGGAAGGGGACUCCGGAACGUACUACGUGGCGCUUUUCCACGACCGCUCGAACGCGGACGUCACCGAGAGCUUCAAAGUGCUGCUCACGGUCCACCUGGCAGCCACAGAUCUGACACCCGUGAACUGCACAGAGACCUCUGCGGGAAGCUCGCAGUCCAUCACGUACGUCUACGUCAUCUGCGGGCUGGGGGCCGCCGUGCUGUCCGUGGCGCUCGUCAGCUGGUUCUACCUGACCAAUGAGAGGAGCUCAGCCAACCAGCCGACUCAGAGGAGUGCCGAGAACAGCCAGGUGACCAGCAAGGAUCCCAGCCACCUUCCCGGGUACUCCAUAGAGUACGGGGUGCUGGAAUUCCAAAGCAGACCAAGCGGGCAGGAUGGAGACUGGAGCAGAGGGUCCAGACUGGAUCUCCGGGACAAUGUGGAGUACUCGGUCAUCACCUUCCAGCAGAGGAAUCACCAGGGAGCAGCAAAGAACCCGACAGGAGUCUGCUGAACAAGACUGGGUUUCCAGAGGCCCCGGAAUCAAGGAAGAGCUGAACACUAAGGACAGGGCGGCCCACCGCUGCUCUACUCCUUGGUCGCGCGGCGCAGGAUCCCCCCCACCAAGCACGCGAAACCCAACACUAUCUACGCGCGAGACUGCAGCGCCCCGGGUCCGAACGCUGGCGUUCUCGGGUUUGAACCACCCCACCUCACCAGGGACGCAGAGACAGGUGCACAGGUGUUUGGCCCCGCCCCAAUAACACACAGCUACCAAUAAAAUGCAGCUCAGUACAGCGAAUUUGCA